UACAGAGGUCUCAACCGUUGUUCGGAUUCAUUGGGCGUAAAGGGUGCGUAGGCGGUCGUGCAAGUCGGAUGUGAAAUCUCAGGGCUCAACCCUGAAACUGCAUUCGAUACUGCGUGGCUAGAGUGCUGGAGAGGAGACUGGAAUUUACGGUGUAGCAGUGAAAUGCGUAGAUAUCGUAAGGAAGACCAGUGGCGAAGGCGAGUCUCUGGACAGCAACUGACGCUGAGGCACGAAGGCGAGGGGAGCAAACGGG
rnacentral:rRNA from 1 species